CCAAGGGCUAGAAAUUGUGGGCCAUAGCACCUGAUCCUGUGUGAUCUCAAAAGCUAAGCAGGGUAAGGUCUGGUUAGUACUUGGAUGGGAGAAAUUGUUGGACAGACCCUGGA
rnacentral:rRNA from 1 species